CCUACGGGAGGCAGCAGUGGGGGAAUCUUGCGCAAUGGGCGAAAGCCUGACGCAGCCAUGCCGCGUGAAUGAUGAAGGUCUUAGGAUUGUAAAAUUCUUUCACCGGGGACGAUAAUGACGGUACCCGGAGAAGAAGCCCCGGCUAACUUCGUGCCAGCAGCCGCGGUAAUACGAAGGGGGGCUAGCGUUGCUCGGAAUUACUGGGCGUAAAGGGAGCGUAGGCGGAUAGUUUAGUCAGAGGUGAAAGCCCAGGGCUCAACCUUGGAAUUGCCUUUGAUACUGGCUAUCUUGAGUAUGGGAGAGGUUAGCGGAACUCCGAGUGUAGAGGUGAAAUUCGUAGAUAUUCGGAAGAACACCAGUGGCGAAGGCGGCUAACUGGCCCAUUACUGACGCUGAGGCUCGAAAGCGUGGGGAGCAAACAGGAUUAGAUACCCUGGUAGUCCACGCCGUAAACGAUGAGUGCUAGUUGUCGGCAUGCAUGCAUGUCGGUGACGCGAGCGUACGACUAUUAAGUACACUCCGCCGUCGGGAGGUACGGUCGCGAGAAUUAAACUACGAAAGAAGUAGACGGCGUGAGACGUCGCCGACGGACGACGACGAGGGAGGUUAGG
rnacentral:rRNA from 1 species